GGAGGCUUGGCAGAGUGGUCGAUUGCGGCGGUCUUGAAAACCGUUGACCCUUCGCGGGGUCCGUGGGUUCGAAUCCCACAGCCUCCGCCA
rnacentral:tRNA from 1 species